rnacentral:rRNA from 1 species
UACGUAGGGUGCAAGCGUUGUCCGGAAUUAUUGGGCGUAAAGAGCUCGUAGGCGGUGUGUCACGUCGGCCGUGAAAACCUGCAGCUUAACUGUGGGCGUGCGGUCGAUACGGGCAUCACUGGAGUUCGGCAGGGGAGACUGGAAUUCCUGGUGUAGCGGUGAAAUGCGCAGAUAUCAGGAGGAACACCGGUGGCGAAGGCGGGUCUCUGGGCCGAUACUG